rnacentral:miRNA from 1 species
UACCUCAUCGACCGGAAGGAAUCCCUUCCGGCGAUGAGGUGUAACACCCUCAUCGGCCGGAAGGGAUUCCUUCCGGUUGAUGAGGUA